rnacentral:lncRNA from 1 species
AUAAUGCAUAAUAGGUUGAUUUCAAUUUCAAUAUUGUGAGAUGGCUGAUUAUAUCUUCAACUUAUCAAAUAUCAUUUCUUUGCGUUUUCUCAUAUUGUUGAUAAUCGCAUUUACUUUGUUUAUGCAGUUGGCUACUGUUAGUGCAGGUUUGUCACAUUGAUAUAUAUUGAAAAAAUAUUUCAUCUCACAAUUCAUUCUCCCUCAUUUUUUUAACAGUUUUUUUAACCUCUUAGCAUGUGUGAAAUAAUCGAAAAAAUCAUUCAUCAUGGGACGAAAGGAGUUAUUUAUUUAUUUUUUUAUUUAAAAAAUUGGAAAAACAAAAUUAAUGAUCAUUAAUUUACUACUAUAUGAUCCAAGUGAAAUUUAUAACUAAAAUUGUUUAGAGGGUAAUUAGAUUUUCUUUAAUCAUGAAAUAUAUUUUUAAUUAUGUUGAUUGUUGAUAAUAACGUAUAAUUGAAUUGUAGAUAUGAAGAUGAGGAAAUUGGGACUGUUGAUAAGUCCACCUCCUCCACCACCGUCCAACAUACCACCAAAACGAAUACUGUGAAGAUCAUGAGCUGAAUGUUAUUAUAGUACUUUUGUAAGAUUUUAUUUAAUUGUUUUAAAUUGUUUCUACUUGAAAGGUAAAUGAAAUAAAGUUUUAUUGAAUAUUGUUAUGAAUAAUAUGUAAUGAAUGUCCAUUAUUGUGUAUGUUUUCUUGUCCCCUAAUUGUGUCCUAUAAAUAAGACCCCUUUAUUACAAUGUAAAGCACACUUGUGAAUAGAAUAAUAACAAUGGUCUAUUCC